rnacentral:rRNA from 1 species
GGGUUGUGAGGUUAAGCGACUAAGCGUACACGGUGGAUGCCCUGGCAGUCAGAGGCGAUGAAGGACGUGCUAAUCUGCGAUAAGCGUCGGUAAGGUGAUAUGAACCGUUAUAACCGGCGAUUUCCGAAUGGGGAAACCCAGUGUGUUUCGACACACUAUCAUUAACUGAAUCCAUAGGUUAAUGAGGCGAACCGGGGGAACUGAAACAUCUAAGUACCCCGAGGAAAAGAAAUCAACCGAGAUUCCCCCAGUAGCGGCGAGCGAACGGGGAGCAGCCCAGAGCCUGAAUCAGUGUGUGUGUUAGUGGAAGCGUCUGGAAAGGCGCGCGAUACAGGGUGACAGCCCCGUACACAAAAAUGCACAUGCUGUGAGCUCGAUGAGUAGGGCGGGACACGUGGUAUCCUGUCUGAAUAUGGGGGGACCAUCCUCCAAGGCUAAAUACUCCUGACUGACCGAUAGUGAACCAGUACCGUGAGGGAAAGGCGAAAAGAACCCCGGCGAGGGGAGUGAAAAAGAACCUGAAACCGUGUACGUACAAGCAGUGGGAGCACGCUUAGGCGUGUGACUGCGUACCUUUUGUAUAAUGGGUCAGCGACUUAUAUUCUGUAGCAAGGUUAACCGAAUAGGGGAGCCGAAGGGAAACCGAGUCUUAACUGGGCGUUAAGUUGCAGGGUAUAGACCCGAAACCCGGUGAUCUAGCCAUGGGCAGGUUGAAGGUUGGGUAACACUAACUGGAGGACCGAACCGACUAAUGUUGAAAAAUUAGCGGAUGACUUGUGGCUGGGGGUGAAAGGCCAAUCAAACCGGGAGAUAGCUGGUUCUCCCCGAAAGCUAUUUAGGUAGCGCCUCGUGAAUUCAUCUCCGGGGGUAGAGCACUGUUUCGGCAAGGGGGUCAUCCCGACUUACCAACCCGAUGCAAACUGCGAAUACCGGAGAAUGUUAUCACGGGAGACACACGGCGGGUGCUAACGUCCGUCGUGAAGAGGGAAACAACCCAGACCGCCAGCUAAGGUCCCAAAGUCAUGGUUAAGUGGGAAACGAUGUGGGAAGGCCCAGACAGCCAGGAUGUUGGCUUAGAAGCAGCCAUCAUUUAAAGAAAGCGUAAUAGCUCACUGGUCGAGUCGGCCUGCGCGGAAGAUGUAACGGGGCUAAACCAUGCACCGAAGCUGCGGCAGCGACACUAUGUGUUGUUGGGUAGGGGAGCGUUCUGUAAGCCUGUGAAGGUGUGCUGUGAGGCAUGCUGGAGGUAUCAGAAGUGCGAAUGCUGACAUAAGUAACGAUAAAGCGGGUGAAAAGCCCGCUCGCCGGAAGACCAAGGGUUCCUGUCCAACGUUAAUCGGGGCAGGGUGAGUCGACCCCUAAGGCGAGGCCGAAAGGCGUAGUCGAUGGGAAACAGGUUAAUAUUCCUGUACUUGGUGUUACUGCGAAGGGGGGACGGAGAAGGCUAUGUUGGCCGGGCGACGGUUGUCCCGGUUUAAGCGUGUAGGCUGGUUUUCCAGGCAAAUCCGGAAAAUCAAGGCUGAGGCGUGAUGACGAGGCACUACGGUGCUGAAGCAACAAAUGCCCUGCUUCCAGGAAAAGCCUCUAAGCAUCAGGUAACAUCAAAUCGUACCCCAAACCGACACAGGUGGUCAGGUAGAGAAUACCAAGGCGCUUGAGAGAACUCGGGUGAAGGAACUAGGCAAAAUGGUGCCGUAACUUCGGGAGAAGGCACGCUGAUAUGUAGGUGAAGUCCCUUGCGGAUGGAGCUGAAAUCAGUCGAAGAUACCAGCUGGCUGCAACUGUUUAUUAAAAACACAGCACUGUGCAAACACGAAAGUGGACGUAUACGGUGUGACGCCUGCCCGGUGCCGGAAGGUUAAUUGAUGGGGUCAGCGCAAGCGAAGCUCUUGAUCGAAGCCCCGGUAAACGGCGGCCGUAACUAUAACGGUCCUAAGGUAGCGAAAUUCCUUGUCGGGUAAGUUCCGACCUGCACGAAUGGCGUAAUGAUGGCCAGGCUGUCUCCACCCGAGACUCAGUGAAAUUGAACUCGCUGUGAAGAUGCAGUGUACCCGCGGCAAGACGGAAAGACCCCGUGAACCUUUACUAUAGCUUGACACUGAACAUUGAGCCUUGAUGUGUAGGAUAGGUGGGAGGCUUUGAAGUGUGGACGCCAGUCUGCAUGGAGCCGACCUUGAAAUACCACCCUUUAAUGUUUGAUGUUCUAACGUGGACCCGUGAUCCGGGUUGCGGACAGUGUCUGGUGGGUAGUUUGACUGGGGCGGUCUCCUCCUAAAGAGUAACGGAGGAGCACGAAGGUUGGCUAAUCCUGGUCGGACAUCAGGAGGUUAGUGCAAUGGCAUAAGCCAGCUUGACUGCGAGCGUGACGGCGCGAGCAGGUGCGAAAGCAGGUCAUAGUGAUCCGGUGGUUCUGAAUGGAAGGGCCAUCGCUCAACGGAUAAAAGGUACUCCGGGGAUAACAGGCUGAUACCGCCCAAGAGUUCAUAUCGACGGCGGUGUUUGGCACCUCGAUGUCGGCUCAUCACAUCCUGGGGCUGAAGUAGGUCCCAAGGGUAUGGCUGUUCGCCAUUUAAAGUGGUACGCGAGCUGGGUUUAGAACGUCGUGAGACAGUUCGGUCCCUAUCUGCCGUGGGCGCUGGAGAACUGAGGGGGGCUGCUCCUAGUACGAGAGGACCGGAGUGGACGCAUCACUGGUGUUCGGGUUGUCAUGCCAAUGGCACUGCCCGGUAGCUAAAUGCGGAAGAGAUAAGUGCUGAAAGCAUCUAAGCACGAAACUUGCCCCGAGAUGAGUUCUCCCUGACUCCUUGAGAGUCCUGAAGGAACGUUGAAGACGACGACGUUGAUAGGCCGGGUGUGUAAGCGCAGCGAUGCGUUGAGCUAACCGGUACUAAUGAACCGUGAGGCUUAACCUUACAACGCCGAAGGUGUUU